rnacentral:rRNA from 1 species
AUAAGCGGAGGAAAAGAAACUAACAAGGAUUCCCCUAGUAACGGCGAGUGAAGCGGGAAGAGCUCAAAUUUGAAAUCUGGUAGCCUUCGGUUGCCCGAGUUGUAAUCUAGAGAAGUGUUUUCCGUGCCGGCCCAUGUACAAGUCCCUUGGAACAGGGCGUCAUAGAGGGUGAGAAUCCCGUCCUUGACAUGGACCCCCGGUGCUUUGUGAUACACUUUCAACGAGUCGAGUUGUUUGGGAAUGCAGCUCAAAAUGGGUGGUGAAUUCCAUCUAAAGCUAAAUAUUGGCGAGAGACCGAUAGCGAACAAGUACCGUGAGGGAAAGAUGAAAAGCACUUUGGAAAGAGAGUUAAACAGUACGUGAAAUUGUUGAAAGGGAAACGAUUGAAGUCAGUCAUGCUCUUAGGAUUCAGCCGUUCUGCGGUGUAUUUCCUUUGAGUGGGGUCAACAUCAGUUUUGAUCGAUGGAUAAAGGCACGAGGAAGGUAGCACUCUCGGGUGAACUUAUAGCCUCGCGUCAUAUACAUUGAUUGGGACUGAGGAACGCAGCAUGCCUUUAUGGCCGGGAUUCGUCCACGUACAUGCUUAGGAUGUGACAUA